GCCUCUUGAACACUGCCAGGGAAAGCAACUCCACCACCUCUGUGGGCCACAUGUUUGUAUCUUGCUCUACAUCAACUUGGUUAAACCACAAGACAUAUUUUUGUUAUUUUCUCUUCUGAUUCUUCCUCUUACCCAAACUCUCUAAUUUGCCUUAUCCUGGAAUUAACCUCAUAGAAUCAUAGAAUUACUCGGGUUGGAAAAGGCUUUAAAGAUCAUAAGUCCAACUGCAACCUAACCAUACUACCCUAACAACCCUCUGCUAAAUCAUAUCCCUGAGCACCACAUCCAAAUGGUUUUUAUACACAUUCAGGGAUGGUGACUCAACCACCUCUCUGGGGAGCCUAUUCCAGUGCUUGACAACCCUUUCUGUAAAUUUUUUUUCCUGAUAUCCAACCUAAACCUCCGCUGGUGCAACUUGAGGCCAUUUCCCCUCAGCCUGUCACCUGUCAUCAGAGAGAAGAGACCAACCCCACUCUCAUUGCAAUCACCUUUCAGGUGUUUGAAGAGAGCAAUAAAAUCUCCUCUCAGUCUCCUCUUUCCCAGACUAAAUAGCCCCAAUUCCUUCAGUUGCUCCUCGUAGGGCAUAUUCUCGAAGCCCGUCACAAGCCUUGUUGCCUUUCUUCGGAUCUGCUCCAGCACCUCAACGUCCUUUCUGAAUUGAUGUGCCCAAAACCGGUCACUGUACUCAAGGUGGAGCCUCACCAGUGCUGAAUACAAGGGCAGGAUUACUUCCCUAGUCCUGCUCAACACAAAAUUUCUGAUACAAACCAGGAUGCCAUUGGCCUUCUUGGCCACCUGGGCACAAUGCUGGCUCAUAUUCAGCUGACUGUACAUCAGUACACCAAGGUCCCUUUCCAUCAGGCAGCUUUCCAGCCACACCUCCCCAAGCCUGUAGGGUUGCCUGGGGUUGUUGUGACCAAAAUGCAGGACCCGACACUUGGCCCUCUUGAAACUCAUGCCGUUAACAUUGGACCAUCGAUCCAGUCUAUCCAGGUCCGUCUGUAGUGCCCUUCUCCCCUCUGGCAGAUCAACACUCCCUCCCAGCUUGGUGUCGUCUGCAAACUUACUGAGGGUGCACUCAAUCCCCUCAUCAAGAUCAUCAAUGAAGAU
ensembl:lncRNA